rnacentral:rRNA from 1 species
GACGAACGCUGGCGGCGUGCUUAACACAUGCAAGUCGAACGGAAAGGCCCUGCUUUUGUGGGGUGCUCGAGUGGCGAACGGGUGAGUAACACGUGAGUAACCUGCCCUUGACUUUGGGAUAACUUCAGGAAACUGGGGCUAAUACCGGAUAGGAGCUCCUGCUGCAUGGUGGGGGUUGGAAAGUUUCGGUGGGUGGGGAUGGACUCGCGGCUUAUCAGCUUGUUGGUGGGGUAGUGGCAUACCAAGGCUUUGACGGGUAGCCGGCCUGAGAGGGUGACCGGCGACAUUGGGACUGAGAUACGGCCCAGACUCCUACGGGAGGCAGCAGUCGGGAAUAUUGCACAAUGGGCGGAAGCCUGAUGAAGCAACGCCGCGUGCGGGAUGACGGCCUUCGGGUUGUAAACCGCUUUCGCCUGUGACGAAGCGUGAGUGACGGUAAUGGGUAAAGAAGCACCGGCUAACUACGUG